CCCACGGCCAUUCUUAUCACUGCCGAAAUUAACCAGUUGAUCCCUUUCUCCCUCUCUCACAAACCGGGGCUGUGUCUCUCAUUCUUCAGGUCACUCCCCAGCACCUAGUGCAGUGCCUCCCCAGGGCAGGUGCACAAGUCACCCACCUACCCUUCACUCUGCACUGAGCUCACAACAGAUGAACAGAUGUGACCACCCCCGAAUUCAGUCCAGCAGCAUGUCUGCAGCGCCUACUAUGUGUCAGGUUCCAGGCUAGUUCCUGGAAUAAAAUGACAAAUAGAUCUAAAUUUCUGCUCUCAAGAAGAUACCAGACAAGCGGAGGCAAGAAAUGACAGCAGUGGAAGGGGAUGAAGCCUAAACCAGUAGUUCCCAGAGUGUGGCCGUGAACCAGCAGCACAGCAUCAAGGAGGAACUUGGAUCAGGAGAUGGUCUGGAUUAUCAGCAGACACCUUAGGAGCCCACCUGUAUCUCAAGACAACAGUGGAAAGUACAUGAGAUUUGGCGAUUACCCAGCAACUUGAUUUCUUUAUUCUGUGGCAUGAAGGAUGCCACCCUUUGGCUGAACACUUAGCCUCACAGGGCAGGUACUAUGAAGAACCCUCGAAUUAGCAUUUGCAAGAGUGUGUUGUUCGACGUAUUAUUGCCUAAAAGGGAUUUUUAUUAUCAUUAUUAGAUGUAGAAAAUGCAGAGGAAAAUAUUGUCUAAAAAAUUAUCUAGCAGCAUGAUAUAGUGGGAAGAAUGUGGAUUUAAAGUCAUACAGAAGUGAAUGUAGAGAUACCACCUUCACCAGUUACUGGCUGUGUGACCUCAGGGAAGUUACUUUACUUCUCUGAACUUCUCACCUUUCUCAUCUGCAAAAUGGGGGUAAGAGUAUUGGCCACAAGCUUGGGUUGCGGCAAGGACUAACUGAUACCUCUGUGAGUGUCCCUGGGGCCCAUGGAGGGUACUUGAUACAGGUGGAAUAAUAAAUGUGCCUUGAGCAGCAUCACACACCCAUCGGUCUUGGUUUGGAGACACUCCAAGAGUCAGCUGUGCUCUGCACAUCCCCGCACUGCAGGGACAAGGCUGCCUCCUCCCCCUGUGGCUCCUCUGAAAGCCAUUCUUCAUCCUCACAGCUCUGGCAGCCUCCCCUCUGCCUCGAUCAAGUUACAGGCCCAUUUGUUUUCUCCUCACAAAGCGCUGCAGUCUGGGAGACGACUCCCCCUUCCUCUACAGCCCGGCAUGCUGGGCCAAGAGUUCAGCGCCGGGUAGUACAGCCCCGGCUUUUCUCAUUAGGGCACACAGAAAGUGUCACAGCUGGCCCCAUUUUCAUUCCCUUGCAUGUGUCUUCAUCAAUUUCCAGGCCCCUGGAAGCAGCUCCCAGCAUCCACUUCUUUUCAGAUGAGUAAGUUCCCUGGAGGGGAAGGGGGAGCUUCUUAAACCGGCUCAAACCCGGCAGGUGUUGCGGAGGGAUCCUAUUCAAGGCAGAAG